rnacentral:lncRNA from 1 species
AACCAUUGCACCUCCAAGCCCAAGCCCAAGCCCAAAAUUAGCUAGGGCGCUCUUUCUCUCUCUUUGCCUUUCACCUCAUUGAAGAAGAAGAAGAACACCUCAUUGAAGAGCCUCACGCCUUCUGUUCUCUUCAAUUUCUCUACGCCUAGGGUUUCGAAGAGAAUAGCCCAAGCCCAAGCCCAAAAUUAGCUAGGGCGCUCUUUCUCUCUCUUUGCCUUUCGCCUCAUUGAAGAAGAAGAAGAGCCUCACGCUCUUUCUCUCUCUUUGCCUUUCGCCUCAUUGAAGAAGAAGAAGAAGAAGAAGAGCCUCACGCUUCUGUUCUCUUCAAUUUCUCUACGCCUAGGGUUUCCAAGAGGUAUUCUUCCAACCGCUUCCAAACCUUUGUUUAUACUCCAACAAGUUCAAAAUAAACUGAUUUUUAUUUUUUAUUUUUUAUUUAUUUUCCUGCUGAAAAAUCGAAGCUUGUUUGCCAUUUUUGUGAGAAUUGAUUUUCUCUUUUCUGGGAACGUCGGAAUGGUAUUUUGAGUUAUGCCGUGUUCUUGUAUUAGUUGCUUUGCGUUCUUGAUUUUUUUUUUUUUUGAUUUAUGAAACAUAUUAUCA